AGAUUGAACGCUAGCGGGAUGCUUUACACAUGCAAGUCGAACGGCAGCGCGGACUUCGGUCUGGCGGCGAGUGGCGAACGGGUGAGUAAUAUAUCGGAACGUGCCCAGUAGCGGGGGAUAACUACGCGAAAGCGUGGCUAAUACCGCAUACGCCCUACGGGGGAAAGGGGGGGAUCGCAAGACCUCUCACUAUUGGAGCGGCCGAUAUCAGAUUAGCUAGUUGGUGAGGUAAAGGCUCACCAAGGCGACGAUCUGUAGCUGGUUUGAGAGGACGACCAGCCACACUGGGACUGAGACACGGCCCAGACUCCUACGGGAGGCAGCAGUGGGGAAUUUUGGACAAGUGGGGGAAACCCUGAUCCAGCCAUCCCGCGUGUGCGAUGAAGGCCUUCGGGUGUAAGCACUUUGCGAGGAAGAAACGGCGUGACCCUAAUACGGACGUCACGUGACGGUACCUGCGACGAAUAA
rnacentral:rRNA from 1 species